AGAGUUUGAUCCUGGCUCAGAACGAACGCUGGCGGCAGGCUUAACACAUGCAAGUCGAGCGCCCCGCAAGGGGAGCGGCAGACGGGUGAGUAACGCGUGGGAAUCUACCCAUCUCUACGGAAUAACGCAUGGAAACGUGUGCUAAUACCGUAUACGUCCUUCGGGAGAAAGAUUUAUCGGAGAUGGAUGAGCCCGCGUUGGAUUAGCUAGUUGGUGGGGUAAAGGCCUACCAAGGCGACGAUCCAUAGCUGGUCUGAGAGGAUGAUCAGCCACACUGGGACUGAGACACGGCCCAGACUCCUACGGGAGGCAGCAGUGGGGAAUAUUGGACAAUGGGCGCAAGCCUGAUCCAGCCAUGCCGCGUGAGUGAUGAAGGCCCUAGGGUUGUAAAGCUCUUUCACCGGUGAAGAUAA
rnacentral:rRNA from 1 species